GAUGAACGCUGGCGGCGUGCUUAACACAUGCAAGUCGAACGAGAAGUGAAGACGGAACCCUUCGGGCGGAAGGCUUUAUUUCGAGUGGCGGACGGGUGAGUAACGCGUGGGUAACCUGCCUCAUACAGGGGGAUAACAGUUGGAAACGACUGUUAAUACCGCAUAAGACCACAGCACCGCAUGGUGCGGGGGUAAAAACUCCGGUGGUAUGAGAUGGGCCCGCGUUCGAUUAGCCAGUUGGCGGGGUAACGGCCCACCAAAGCGACGAUCGAUAGCCGAUCUGAGAGGAUGACCGGCCACAUUGGGACUGAGACACGGCCCAAACUCCUACGGGAGGCAGCAGUGGGGAAUAUUGCACAAUGGGGGAAACCCUGAUGCAGCGACGCCGCGUGAGUGAAGAAGUAUUUCGGUAUGUAAAGCUCUAUCAGCAGGGAAGAAAAUGACGGUACCUGAGGAAGAAGCCCCGGCUAACUACGUG
rnacentral:rRNA from 1 species